rnacentral:rRNA from 1 species
GACGAACGCUGGCGGCGUGCUUAACACAUGCAAGUCGAGCGGAAAGGCCCUUUCGGGGGUACUCGAGCGGCGAACGGGUGAGUAACACGUGAGUAAUCUGCCCCUGGCUUUGGGAUAGCCACCGGAAACGGUGAUUAAUACCGGAUACGACCACUUCUCGCAUGGGAUGGUGGUGGAAAGUUUUUCGGCCAGGGAUGUGCUCGCGGCCUAUCAGCUUGUUGGUGAGGUAAAAGCUCACCAAGGCUACGACGGGUAGGGGACGUGAGAGCGUGCACCCCCAGAAUGGCACUGAGAUACGGGCCAUACACCUACGGGUGGCGCAACCGGGAAUCGUGCGCAAUGGACGAAAGUCUGACGCCGCGACGCCGCGUGAGGGAUGAAGGUUUUUGGAUUGUAAACCUCUUUUGCCAAGGUAGAGAUGCCUUGGAGAAUAAGCAUCGGCUAACUUCGUGCCAGCCGCCGCCGUAA